CAGUCGCCACGGUAAUACGUAGGGUGCAAGCGUUAAUCGGAAUUACUGGGCGUAAAGCGUGCGCAGGCGGUUAUAUAAGACAGAUGUGAAAUCCCCGGGCUCAACCUGGGAACUGCAUUUGUGACUGUAUAGCUAGAGUACGGCAGAGGGGGAUGGAAUUCCGCGUGUAGCAGUGAAAUGCGUAGAUAUGCGGAGGAACACCGAUGGCGAAGGCAAUCCCCUGGGCCUGUACUGACGCUCAUGCACGAAAGCGUGGGGAGCAAACAGGAUUAGAUACCCCGGUAGUCCCUGUCUCUUAUAU
rnacentral:rRNA from 1 species